UUUUAAUGGCCAACAUUCUAUGCCAUAAAGCAUUGCAGGUCUAACUGCCAUCUUAUAGAAUUUUCCCGGAAGUUUGAGUGUUAUUUUUCUAUCACACAACAAGCCCGAUGCAUUCCUUCACUUCAUCCCAUAAGUUUGAGUGGGUUUUAGCUUAAAACGUGAGAAAAAUAUGAUUUAAGACAGCCAUAAGAUUUAUGUGGCUUAAAAAAUUAUGUGGCUGCUAUAUACAUGCCACCUAAAUCUUGACUAUUUACCAAACUAAUUUUUUUCUUUCCUCUAAAAAGUCUAAAAUGCUAAAGGGUGAGGAUAGCAUCUUUUUAGAUGGAUAUGUCUAGUUUUUUAUUCUCAAUUUACUUUUGUUGGAAAAAUGGAUUAAGAUAUUUUUGUGAGCUCUUUCUUGCAGCUGGUUUGUUUAUCAGUUUUUUGUAAGGUUGGAUUACGAUCUUGUACAGGUACUAUAAUUGUACUGUGCAAUCACCACAACAUCCUUGCAUUGCGAUUGAUUUAUUGCACCUAUGGUUUAAUUGUGUGGGCUUUUUAAUCAUGAUUUUCCUUAGUUUGUUGAUCGAAACAUUUCCUUUUAUUUUGGACUCAAAAGGUUAUGAUUGCUAAAAACGUGAAGAAGGGAUUAACUUUAGGAUUUUUGUAAAAAAGCUCUCUUGUUUGUUCUUUCAGUGAGAAAUGAUGGCAUUUUAGAGGCUGCUUGGUUGCAAAUGGGUCAGGCCCAUGGCGGUUUAACAGCUUGUAUAGCAUUCUGUCUGAGUUUCUCUUGCAAAUGUCCAUAGUGGACCUAUCCAGCACGGGCUUGGAGCUGAUCCUUGAUGUAAUCCAGCUGAAAUAGGAAAAAUAUUUGGUCAAACAUCCUUGUGCUUGAACACAGGCUGGCAGCAAUUGUUGAGAUAGAGCUUUUUGCCAUCCUCAACAAUUGGUUUAUCGAAACAUAAUUUUCUUACCUUCAACAGUCUGUAUGGGUUGCUUUUCCCAACAACUCGGAUGAAAUUUAUCUCAGUACUGUAUCUUUUUCUAGCUAGUUUGCUUGACUCAACUGCACCCAUAUUUGCAGCCACCCGAAACAGACUCUUCCAGAAAAGAAGUUGGGCAGUUCAAAUUGAAAAAAAAUAUAUCAAAUAUCUUUUGGUAAAUAUAGUUCAAACAUUUAAAAGGACAAUUUCUAUUAUGUUUGUUUUGCAAGUUCCUCUAUUAUAUUAUCUGAUGUGAUGCAUGGUUGGAGUUACACAAGAAUUAAAAGAGAAUUAAAUUCUAGCUCAACGUAUUAUAUAAUCAUGUAUCAAAGUUAAGUCGAUUACAAGGAAUUCGCGAUGUUCAACUUGAUAGGCAAAGAAAUUACAACAAGAUAGCCAAACUAUUUAAACAAACGCAAAGG